AGUUUGAUCCUGGCUCAGGAUGAACGCUAGCUACAGGCUUAACACAUGCAAGUCGAGGGGCAGCAUGAACUUAGCUUGCUAAGUUUGAUGGCGACCGGCGCACGGGUGAGUAACGCGUAUCCAACCUGCCGAUGACUCGGGGAUAGCCUUUCGAAAGAAAGAUUAAUACCCGAUGGCAUAGUUCUUCCGCAUGGUAGAACUAUUAAAGAAUUUCGGUCAUCGAUGGGGAUGCGUUCCAUUAGGUUGUUGGCGGGGUAACGGCCCACCAAGCCUUCGAUGGAUAGGGGUUCUGAGAGGAAGGUCCCCCACAUUGGAACUGAGACACGGUCCAAACUCCUACGGGAGGCAGCAGUGAGGAAUAUUGGUCAAUGGACGAGAGUCUGAACCAGCCAAGUAGCGUGAAGGAUGACUGCCCUAUGGGUUGUAAACUUCUUUUAUACGGGAAUAAAGUGAGGCACGUGUGCCUUUUUGUAUGUACCGUAUGAAUAAGGAUCGGCUAACUCCGUGCCAGCAGCCGCGGUAAUACGGAGGAUCCGAGCGUUAUCCGGAUUUAUUGGGUUUAAAGGGAGCGUAGGCGGACGCUUAAGUCAGUUGUGAAAGUUUGCGGCUCAACCGUAAAAUUGCAGUUGAUACUGGGUGUCUUGAGUACAGUAGAGGCAGGCGGAAUUCGUGGUGUAGCGGUGAAAUGCUUAGAUAUCACGAAGAACUCCGAUUGCGAAGGCAGCCUGCUGGACUGUAACUGACGCUGAUGCUCGAAAGUGUGGGUAUCAAACAGGAUUAGAUACCCUGGUAGUCCACACAGUAAACGAUGAAUACUCGCUGUUUGCGAUAUACAGUAAGCGGCCAAGCGAAAGCGUUAAGUAUUCCACCUGGGGAGUACGCCGGCAACGGUGAAACUCAAAGGAAUUGACGGGGGCCCGCACAAGCGGAGGAACAUGUGGUUUAAUUCGAUGAUACGCGAGGAACCUUACCCGGGCUUGAAUUGCAACUGAAUGAUGUGGAGACAUGUCAGCCGCAAGGCAGUUGUGAAGGUGCUGCAUGGUUGUCGUCAGCUCGUGCCGUGAGGUGUCGGCUUAAGUGCCAUAACGAGCGCAACCCUUAU
rnacentral:rRNA from 1 species